UGAAGGUUGGGUAACACUAACUGGAGGACCGAACCGACUAAUGUUGAAAAAUUAGCGGAUGACCUGUGGCUGGGGGUGAAAGGCCAAUCAAACCGGGAGAUAGCUGGUUCUCCCCGAAAGCUAUUUAGGUAGCGCCUCGUGAACUCAUCUUCGGGGGUAGAGCACUGUUUCGGCUAGGGGGCCAUCCCGGCUUACCAACCCGAUGCAAACUACGAAUACCGAAGAAUGUUAUCACGGGAGACACACGGCGGGUGCUAACGUCCGUCGUGAAGAGGGAAACAACCCAGACCGCCAGCUAAGGUCCCAAAGUCAUGGUUAAGUGGGAAACGAUGUGGGAAGGCACAGACAGCCAGGAUGUUGGCUUAGAAGCAGCCAUCAUUUAAAGAAAGCGUAAUAGCUCACUGGUCGAGUCGGCCUGCGCGGAAGAUGUAACGGGGCUAAACCAUGCACCGAAGCUGCGGCAGCGACACUAUGUGUUGUUGGGUAGGGGAGCGUUCUGUAAGCCGUUGAAGGUGUGCUGUGAGGCAUGCUGGAGGUAUCAGAAGUGCGAAUGCUGACAUAAGUAACGAUAAAGCGGGUGAAAAGCCCGCUCGCCGGAAGACCAAGGGUUCCUGUCCAACGUUAAUCGGGGCAGGGUGAGUCGACCCCUAAGGCGAGGCCGAAAGGCGUAGUCGAUGGGAAACAGGUUAAUAUUCCUGUACUUGGUGUUACUGCGAAGGGGGGACGGAGAAGGCUAUGUCAGCCGGGCGACGGUUGUCCCGGUUUAAGCAUGUAGGCGGAGGUUCCAGGUAAAUCCGGUACCUUUUAACGCUGAGGUGUGAUGACGAGGCACUACGGUGCUGAAGUGAUAAAUGCCCUGCUUCCAGGAAAAGCCUCUAAGCAUCAGGUAACAUCAAAUCGUACCCCAAACCGACACAGGUGGUCAGGUAGAGAAUACCAAGGCGCUUGAGAGAACUCGGGUGAAGGAACUAGGCAAAAUGGUGCCGUAACUUCGGGAGAAGGCACGCUGAUGUGUAGGUGAAGCCCCUGCGGGCGGAGCUGAAAUCAGUCGAAGAUACCAGCUGGCUGCAACUGUUUAUUAAAAACACAGCACUGUGCAAACACGAAAGUGGACGUAUACGGUGUGACGCCUGCCCGGUGCCGGAAGGUUAAUUGAUGGGGUUAGCGGCAACGCGAAGCUCUUGAUCGAAGCCCCGGUAAACGGCGGCCGUAACUAUAACGGUCCUAAGGUAGCGAAAUUCCUUGUCGGGUAAGUUCCGACCUGCACGAAUGGCGUAAUGAUGGCCAGGCUGUCUCCACCCGAGACUCAGUGAAAUUGAACUCGCUGUGAAGAUGCAGUGUACCCGCGGCAAGACGGAAAGACCCCGUGAACCUUUACUAUAGCUUGACACUGAACACUGGUCCUUGAUGUGUAGGAUAGGUGGGAGGCUUUGAAGCGUGGACGCCAGUCUGCGUGGAGCCGACCUUGAAAUACCACCCUUUAAUGGCUGGUGUUCUAACGUAGACCCGUAAUCCGGGUUGCGGACAGUGUCUGGUGGGUAGUUUGACUGGGGCGGUCUCCUCCCAAAGAGUAACGGAGGAGCACGAAGGUUGGCUAAUCCUGGUCGGACAUCAGGAGGUUAGUGCAAUGGCAUAAGCCAGCUUGACUGCGAGCGUGACGGCGCGAGCAGGUGCGAAAGCAGGUCAUAGUGAUCCGGUGGUUCUGAAUGGAAGGGCCAUCGCUCAACGGAUAAAAGGUACUCCGGGGAUAACAGGCUGAUACCGCCCAAGAGUUCAUAUCGACGGCGGUGUUUGGCACCUCGAUGUCGGCUCAUCACAUCCUGGGGCUGAAGUAGGUCCCAAGGGUAUGGCUGUUCGCCAUUUAAAGUGGUACGCGAGCUGGGUUUAGAACGUCGUGAGACAGUUCGGUCCCUAUCUGCCGUGGGCGCUGGAGAAUUGAGGGGGGCUGCUCCUAGUACGAGAGGACCGGAGUGGACGCAUCACUGGUGUUCGGGUUGUCAUGCCAAUGGCACUGCCCGGUAGCUAAAUGCGGAAGAGAUAAGUGCUGAAAGCAUCUAAGCACGAAACUUGCCCCGAGAUGAGUUCUCCCUGAGACUU
rnacentral:rRNA from 1 species